AUGACAAGUGAAGGAAAAGGUGGCAAUUUGGAGGAGCCCCUCCAGCAGAGAACACAAACACAGCAGCACCGAGGAGAGCAGGACAGAGAUCACCCACCCCAGAGGGGAGACACGGAAAAUCCAGACAAGGAAGAAAGCAGUGAGACAUCUUUGUGCCUCGCUCUCCAGCAGAACUGCUCAGCUCCCUGCCCUCUGUCCUUUGAAGCUGCUGGGAAUGUGGAAGUCAAGGAUAAGUUGGCUCAGGCAGCAGCUGCUCCAUCCACCUCCAUCGCUCUGGAACUCCCCAGGCAAGGCGUCGGCUCCGCGCGGCUGCCGGGGCCGUGCUCGGACAGCGAGGACUUCCUGGUCAAGUACAGUGACAUUGUCAUAGGACAAACACCUGUUUUCAGUGAGAAUCGUUCUCCAAGGGCUUUUCAGACAGAGCCAAGAGCCAGUGUGAGUGAGGAAUGUGCCUUGGCUGCAGAGCCCCGGGGGGCUGAGCUGGGGCCUGUGCCGUUGUCCCCAGGAGCCAGCGGCCCCCCAGCCUUUGCCAUGUUUGCUGACAGCCCCUGUGACAGCUCAGCCCAUGUGGAGUUCAGAGCUUCACAACUGCCCCAAGAAUCCAUUGAAGCAGAAAUCAAGGAUGCCAUGAACUGCAUAGACCCAGACCCUGCCGAUGGACCCGCUGAGCUGAAGUCUCUGCCCUACACGGACUUUGCCUCUGCCCAGACUGUCCCCAGGGAGGAGGAGGUUUGUGAUCUGUCCUUAACUUUCACAAAACUACAGAUCAAGGACACUCAGGAAGAUCUGAUGUAUCCAGUGGAGGAAACUGGCCAACCUGCAGCAGCAGCAUGUGCAAGUGCCAGUGACAGGCACAGAAGAGAAUUUAAUCACUCCAAAAUCAAACACGUAUAUCUGGCUGAUGCUGAGCCAUCCUCAGACCUGUGCUGUACUGCUGGGAACACGGAGCAUUCCACCACUGGUUCUGAUGGCAAGAGACUGUUCAUGGAUACUGGUAACACACACAGAGCCUCUGAGGGCUUCAGGCACAUCAGAGAGCCCCCCAACCUCACCUACAUCCCACCACAGAGUAUCGAUGUUCAGCCUUCACAGCCAAGAAGGAGCAGCACACAGGACAGAAGGACCCUCCUGCAGCCUGAACCUGACCCUCCUGAAUCCAGUGAAGUAACUCUGGAGAACUGGAAUUCAGAACUGAGUGAAAACCAGGAGCCUUAUGUCAUUAUUGACAGGACCGACCAAGGAAUGUUAUGCCAUCACAUUUGA
ensembl:lncRNA